rnacentral:rRNA from 1 species
GACGAACGCUGGCGGCGUGCUUAACACAUGCAAGUCGAACGGAAAGGCCCUGCUUUUGUUGGGUGCUCGUGUGGCGAACGUGUGAGUAACACGUGAGUAACCUGCCCUUGACUUUGGGAUAACUUCAGGAAACUGUUGCUAAUACCGGAUAGGAGCUCCUGCUGCAUGGUGGUGGUUGGAAAGUUUCGGCUGUAGGGGAUAGACUCGCGGCUUAUCAGCUUGUUGGUGGGGUAGUGGCUUACCCAGGCUUUGACGGGUAGCCGGCAUGGGAGGGGGACCGGGGACAAGGGGACUGAGGGAGGGAGCAGACGGGAAUGGGAGGCAGUGGGGGAGAGCAUGGCACAAUAGGGGGAAGUGUGAUAUAGAAACGCCGGGUGUGGGAAGAAGGCUUUGGGGGUGUGAACAGCUUUGGGCUGAGACGAAGCGUGAGUGACGGUAACGGGUAAAGAAGCACCGGCUAACUACGUG